rfam:Aedes albopictus isolate Foshan contig9514, whole genome shotgun sequence.
UAGCCUAGUGGUUAAGGCUAUGGAUCGCCAAUCCGGAGAUGUCGGGUUCGAUUCCCGU